UUUAUUGGUCUCCCUUUUUGAUCAGAUUAGAUCUCUCUCUCUCUCUCUCUCUCUCUCUCUCUCUCUAUCCCCGCAGCAACGACGACCACAGCCUUCACCUGCGAUGGAAUUCUCAAGCUGCUCAUCCCUUCGGCCUUCAUGGGUAACUCCAAGGUCUUCUAGCUCAAGAUGAAGAGAGAUUACGAUCGCUAUCUUGCUGAGUUCAAGUUCGGAGUGUUUCUAUGAGUUACUUGAGGAGGAGAUCCAUCAAGUAAUUGUCGAAAACCAGUUAUUUAAGCCUGGUGAGAGCAUUGCCCUUGGCGCCACUGGUGGGAAAGAUUCCACUGUCCUUGCUUAUGUGUUAUCGGAAUUGAAUAGUCUCGUACAAGGAUUUGUAUGGGUGGACCAUGGAUGAAAUAGUUAAGAUGAUUGGUCUCAAGAAUAAUAGCAUCUUCUGUGGUGUUUUUCGUCAUCAGGUAUUUGCUUUUAUUGGAAAUUGACUGCUUGUGUACUUUUUAGAAGUCUUGUAUGCAUGUAUUUAGACAUGACUUAGCAUUCAUAUGUUUUGACAACAUCAAAGCUGUGUGGUUACUCCACAGAAAUUAUGCACACAACCUUGUUUUCCAUAAAGGAAGAGCCGGAGGCUUUAUAGCUGACUCUUUGCAGCAAAUUUGUCAUCACCAGACCCGGAGGGUCAAAGUUUAUUUACAAAGCAUGCAAGUGGUCGAAGUUGAUAGUACUUAUACACACAUUAUUUUGGUUGUUUGACAGGAUGUAAUUAUACAGAAAAUAGCUUUUAUCUUCGUUGAAAUUAUUAGAAUUUACUGGAAAAUUUUGAGAUUCUCAACUCUUGGUUUCGUUCUUGGACAGAAUUUACCAAUUUGUAAGAUGAAUAACCCAUUUCUUUGUUUCUCAUCUUGUCUUCAUCAAUCUUCACUAUCAUAAUCCAAUAUUUUGAAAUUUGUCAUUAUUUGUCAAUUUGCAUAUUGAGAAAGACAGGUCCAUCAAGUAUGCAUUGAUAUUGAUUAAGAGAACGAUGCUUGACAAUAAGAAAAAAAAAAAAUUGGUGGAAGAUGUUCCUACAUGAUUUUUGUACAUAAUAUUUGGAUUUAUAUUCAAUUUGGGUAUGAUUGAUUGUAUUUGUCCGUAAUAUUUGGUAUGGGGGUAUGAUCUUAUGGUUAAAUUUAUUUAUUUUUCUCCAUGUCUCUGUCUUUUGUUUAUGCUUGCAGCAUUAUAUUUCUUUAUUUUUUAGUAGGUGAAAUUUUAUACAGGUUCUACAUUGCAGUUUUGGAAACUGCAUUGCAGUUUUGGUAAUUACAAUUGGAUUUUUGCUCUUUCCUUGGCCUUCAA